rnacentral:rRNA from 1 species
UACGAAGGGUGCAAGCGUUACUCGGAAUUACUGGGCGUAAAGAGCGCGCAGGCGGUCGAUCAAGUCGAGUGUGAAAAGCCCCCGGCUCAACUGGGGGAGGGUCAUUCAUACUGAUCGACUCGAAGGCAGGAGAGGGUAGUGGAAUUCCCGGUGUAGUGGUGAAAUGCGUAGAUAUCAGGAGGAACACCGGUGGUGUAGACGGCUUUCUGGACCGUAACUGACGCUGAGACACGAAAGCGUGGGUAGCGAACAGG